ACAGCAUAAAGUCAGGAAUCUAAAAUUCUGACCACCCAGAUGUUGAUGAUUUAGAACUCCCACAAGUCUCUGAAUGUGACAGAUGGCCAUAUAAUCAUAUGAGUUGUAGUUCAAGAGUAUCUGCGAUUAUUUUUUUACCAGAUUUACCGCAAACACGUUCCAUCCUGUGCCCACCUCAGGUCAGGGAAUCUCGGGCAAGCUAUAUGACACCUCUCCCGAGUGUCUACAUUGCCAGGAGCCAAAAAAAU